AUGCCUGAGUUUGAGAUGGACCAAGAUUUUCAUCAUAGUCGUGGAACUGCUGAACACUCUUACAAUUAUAUGGGUACUGGAGCUAUGAAUUUUUUAUAUGUAUUAUGUCCAAUUAUCCAAUAGAUAUUUCUUUUUCUUUGGUGACUACUUCAUUAUUUGAUUGAAUGUUGCUGCCAGUAUCUAAAAAAUAUACUAGAUUUUCUCUAGACAUGGAUGGUAAAGUGCGGGAUGAAAAGCAAUUAGCAGUGACCAUUGAAUAAGUUUUUUCAUCUUGAGUUGGGCUGAAAGCAAAGAAAAUUUUGAACUCUCCUAAUUUGGUGUAAUUAUGAUUGAAUGUCUGAUUCCAACUUAAUUUCUGUAUAAUCUGGAGUUCUCCAGCAUGUUUCCCUUCCAUUUUGACCUUCGUCUGUCAGUUAUAUCCUAAAUCAAAUGUUAAAUAAUCUACUUCUACCAGGUCCAGAAUUCCUAAAGAGAAAUUUUUACUGUAAUGUUCUACAACGGAAAUUCCUAAAUGAUCUGUUUCCUUACUAGUAAUUGUUGUUUAUAUUUCUGCCACUCAUAUUGUGGAAAUGACUAUUUUUCAUUUUAUAAUUUGUAUAGCAGGAAGGGCUGUUGCUCCAGAAAAUGGUUCUAUCGUUUAUCCAAUGGAAAAUACACUGAUGAGUGGAGUAUACUGUGCCUCUUACCGGAACUUGGAAUGCAGGCCUGUUCAACAUUCCUUCUCCGGUGUUAGAGUGGAAGGUCCACAUUUUCCAGUGGCUGAUUCAGGAUCAUCAUGUGAUCCUUUUCCACACUCUCUAGCUUAUCUGCACCCAGAGAAUAGUGCCAGCCAUGCUCAUUUAAGUUACUAUAAUGGGCACAACAUCCAAGAAGUGCAAGGUGGUGUGUUAGAUCCUACAAUGGGCACUGGAAGAAGUCCUUUCAAAAGAAAAAGCCCAGGCCUUUCUUUAGCCUGUGAUAGAGGCAGCACAAGCAGAUUUUAUGUUGCUGGAAGUUCCUCUGGUUCUUCUGAAUCUCAUCCAGGGAAAUCAACUUCAGACUGUCAAAACUAUACUUCAAGUUCCAUUGGCUUCCCUCCCUACAGGGGUGGCAGCCCUCUGUUUGGCAGUGAAGAUUUUCUGAGGAAUGUGAGAAGCCGAUCUAGACUGGAUUUGGAACCCACCAUAGGGAGAACUCAUAUAUCAAAUCAAUCUUCUCAUCAUUACCAUCCAGUGACUCAUUUGGCCAGCCAAUCUGGAACACUAAACAUUACUUAUACAAAUGCUGAUGUAAACACUCAUAAUCAGAACCAUGCCACUCCACCUCCUGCUGCAUACGGAAGGUUUCUGGCUUCAGGUCAGUUAAGACAUGAAUAUAAUUAUUCUUCUUCACUAUUAUAUUAUGCCACUCUUCUGAGAAUUUACCAACUUAUUUAUUAUAAUUCCAGAAAACAAUGGCCAGGUCAGUUAAGAUAUAAAUAUUACUCUUCUUCACUUUUUUGUCACUGUUAUGAGAAUUGACCAAUUAUAAUUCCAGAAAUCAAUGGAAUGAGCCAUGAGAGGAAUCAGUAUCUUGUUGGAUCAAGUACUGCAGAUAUUGGUCAUUUACACCUUAAUUCCAUACCAAGCAGAAAUCCCUUUCCAUCACCUCCACAAUAUCCUCAUGGUAUCUAUGCGCAGACCACGUGUGAAGGUCAUGGUAAUUACUCUCGAAGAGCUACAUCUUCAUAUAGAGCCAGUCCAAGUUUCUCCCAAUUGGGACAUGAAGCAACUCACUCUGAAAAUGGUCUACAGUCAGAACCUUCCUCUUACAGAUAUUCAAGGUCAUCUUCUGGCAGAGGCUGGCGUAAUUCUCAUUGGGACGGAAGGUCGAGGAUAGCAAAUGAGAGAUUCAAAUCACUUUCUAAUGCUGCGGAUGCACAUGAUAGAAUGGGACCUGAGGUGAGUAAUUAUAAUUUUUCAAGUUUUACAUGUGCAAUGAAGGGAGCAAGAUCCGGUACAACCACUGGAUUAUGACAUUUGACAAUCACUGAACUGAUAGGUUUUGAGCUUCAUGGUUUCCACUUUGGAGAUUUCUGAGUCCUAGAACCGAUAUGAUAUCAUUCUUAAUCCUAUACCUGUAUAAUUUUGUCAUGGCCCCCCACCCCCCAAAAAAAAAAAAUUUAUCCUUAAUUGGAUGGUUGUGCUGAUUUGAUCAAAAGCCAUCUAACAAGGACUUUGUCAUGGGUAUGUAUUCAAGACAGAGUAAUGUAAUUAUGACCAUGCUAAGAUGUACAUGCUUGUUAUACACGUUGAUACCUGUGCAGAAAGGGGGCAAGGAGAAGUUUUUGUUAUAUUUGAUGGGAAGGAUAGUGGGGGGCUGUUUUUUAUGGCUUACCUUUUUCAGAUUUUUAAUCUCUUGAUGGGAUCUAUGCUGGGACAUGUAUUUUGGAAUACACCUUGUUUUAUCCUUUUGGUCUGUGGAACAGUUCAAUGAUUUACUUUUUCUUUUCUAUUGAUAAAGCAUGUGCUUUACUGAUUGUGUAUAGUUAAAAGGAGGUUGAGAAAUCUUAACAUAAAAACUUUAGGAAUUUCUUCUCAAAAUAUUAUAAUGGUGAGUUGGAGAUAUCGUCAUUAGCCUUCUGUCAUAUACUGCAUAAAAUUGAAGCAAGUCAUCAUGGUUUAGUGAGUUUAGCCAUGUUAUGACUUCAUUUCAGUUUUUAGAUCCUUCUUGUUGGUUGAACCAAGUCCUUGAAGGAUGCUUUGAGACUGAGCUUGUAUGUUCAAUUAGGGGUGGAACUAAACUUUAUGAAUUUUGGUGUUGGGGGGGGGGNNNNNNNNNNNNNNNNNNNNNNNNNNNNNNNNNNNNNNNNNNNNNNNNNNNNNNNNNNNNNNNNNNNNNNNNNNNNNNNNNNNNNNNNNNNNNNNNNNNNNNNNNNNNNNNNNNNNNNNNNNNNNNNNNNNNNNNNNNNNNNNNNNNNNNNNNNNNNNNNNNNNNNNNNNNNNNNNNNNNNNNNNNNNNNNNNNGGGGGGGGGGGGGGGGGGGGGUAUGGCCCCCUCCAAGCUUCAAUGUGGUCCCCCUCGUGUUCAAUGGCUCUCACCUGCACAUCUUGCGAAGAUACCAACUCUCUACAAGCCAGAUACUUGUUCUGCUUAUUUGGUGGCAUCGUGCAAACUGGAUAUAGCAGCUCUUAAGGUAAUUUAUCAUGUGAUGACAUGUACUUGUCAUAUUUGCAGGCUAUAAUGAUGGCUGAUCACUCACCUGUGUAUGGCUCCAGAAAUUUGAUUGAUCGGUAUGGGGACAUGAGGCUUGAUGUUGAUAACAUGAAUUAUGAGGUAAUUAUUACUUCAUCUAUCUCCUUGUUGUAUUCUGGAUUGUCCCAGCUUCUGUUGACUAUAAAUUAUUGGCUUCGGGCAGGAACUACUUGCUCUAGGAGAAAGAAUAGGGCAUGUAAGCACUGGCUUGUCUGAGAAUAUGAUUUUAAAGUGUUUAAUGGAGACACCAUAUUCUUCUUCAGAACUUAUGCUGGAGGACCGCUGUGCUAUUUGCCUUGUAAGUAUUUUACUGUUCCUGUCUGGCCGUCUCUUUGAUUAGGAGUGGCAUGCAUUUGAGAUUUAGACCCAAAAGUAUGGCUACUCAUGAUAACAGAUGGAGUUGUGAAAUUUUUUCAUAUAGUUUAAAUUACUAUGGUUAAUGAUUUUGAGCCAUGCUAUUUUUUUUAUUUUUUAUGAAAUUGUUCGAGUCUUGCAACAAUUUGAAUUUGGACAGGUUGCUUCGAUUUUUUUUUUUGUUGUUGGGCUGAAUAAACAUCAAGGUUACUUGGACAUUUGAAUAUUUACUGUAGCACAGCAUAGAUAUUUGUUUCGCUUGAGGUUGAGGGCUCUUAAUAUUCCAAAUUAAAUUUUCUGUGGUCCAAAAUUUGAGUUUAGUAUAGACAUGCACCCAGUUAGAUGCAUACAUAGUUAUGUAUAUAAAAACUAUAUCUGGAUAUGUUAUUUCUAGAUUAGAUUCAUAUAUGAUUUUUAAUGGCUUAAUCUUAUUAGGUGUGAUUUAUCAAGUAUUGGGCCCUGGCUUAAUCUUAUUGGUUCCAUUUGCUUCUUGAAAAGCAGUUUACCUCAUUUGUUCGAAGAAAUCAGCAAAUUAUUUUUUGAUUCAUGUCACAAUCUAGAUGGCUGACCCACUCUUAGUAGGUUUUGUGGAUUGUGGUAUCAUUUGGGCAGUCCAUGUUCCUAAAAUAUGAGCUUUUUAAUUGAAAAAAAGUGAUAUUGAUAUCUAUGUGUGCGCGCGCAUGCAUCCCCUUCCGAGGGAUAUCUUAACUUUUUCAGCAUUUGGUUGACAUUUGCAAUUUACAGGAAGAGUACAAGAUUGAGGAGGAACUCGGGAAAGUGAAUAACUGUGGCCAUGAGUACCAUGUGGACUGCAUCAAGAAAUGGUUAUUGAUAAAGAAUGCCUGCCCCAUCUGCAAAGCUCCUGCUCUAUCAGAUAGUUUGAAGGAGCAAUAGUUAACAUUUACUCUAUGUUCUUUCAAUCUCAUUCUUGUAAAUAUAUGAAUGGAAUUGAUGAGGGGCAUUACAGAGACCUCUCAUGGAAUGUGUAUAGAAUGAUUGAAGAAACUUGGUUUAUUCUCAGUUCACUGAUUAUAUUGCUGUUUCCCAUCUCAUAUAUAUCAAGCUCCAGCCAAAUCUGACCUUGUUGGGAAACAGUAUCAAACAAUGAUACAACUGUGUCCGAAAGUCUCUUUCUCCUUUUUCCUGUACGGUUGUCCCGUUGUGUUUUGACUUUUUUCAGCCCUACUAGUCGGCAAUAGAAUAUAUAUUGCCUUGGAUGGGACGCGUCAUGUUUAGCCCAAAAUAGUUCGGUUUAGCCCAAAAAUGGUUUUAAUCAAGUUUUAAAUAAAGUGGUUUCAUUUAAUUGAAUAUAAAAACUAUAAUCAAAGUUUAUCCAACCCAAAACAUAUACCCAACCCAACUCCAAGACCUUAAAUAAUUAAAAAAAAUUUGAAUAAAAAAAGAGGCAAAAGAGUAUCUUAAGAGCAUCCACAGUAGAUGUGGCAAAAAUUAUGCCACUUUGCCACGUCAAAGACCUACUUUAUUAUUUUAUCACAUCAUUUUACAACAUCUCAUUUAUCAGAUGUUUUAUCAUUCAAUUCUAUACAUUAAAAUAAUAUUUCUUAUACAUUAAAAUAAUAUUUAUAACUCAUCAAUCACAAUCAACUGCCACCACAUUGUUGCCAACAACCAACAACCAUCACCACACAACCACCACAUCCUCCACAACCCAAAACACAAUUCAAAACAAACCCAUAGCCCACCAACACCAAAUCGGAAGCCUUAGGCCCCACAACCCAUGGAACCAUAAUCAAAUCGUAUCUGGGUUCUCUGUCCAUGAUAAAGCUCUUUGUGGUAAGUCUAAGAGGGACAGGUUGGUUGGAGUUUGAAUUCUGAGAGAGGACGAGAGAUAUGGGGUCGAGGGCAAGAAAGAAAGUUUGGAGUGUGGGAUUUUUUGGAUGGGUUUGUCGCAGAGAGUUGUUAAUCUCUGCCAUUGUUGAUAAAUUUUAAGGUUUUAGAUGUGUUUCUUGCUCUGUUUUGGUUUGGAGGCAGAGAGAGAUCUUUGAUUAAUCAAUACCCAGAUAGAACCACGGCCCCACGCUGCCAUUGCACCACCACGACCUAAAACCCACUCCCACAAAUCAAAACCCCACACCCAUACCACCGGACCCCAUUACAAAUCACCCCAACAAUCAACGACACCAACCCAGGCACGAUCGCCGCCUUGGCCCAAUUGGUCCACCCGAUCGUUUGCUUGAUCAUGUUGAAAGUCAGAUUUGCACCAACGACGAGCUGGUAAGCGAUUCGAUUCUCGAGCCUGGUCUUGAUGAACCCGUGGGCAAAGAAGAAAGUGAGCGCGAUGAGCCACGGGAUCGGAUCUCUGAAGGUGAAGAAAGCGGCAGCGAACGUCAGCGUCUUGGUGAGCCCGGAGGCGCCGAGGUCGAACAGGGUGACGGCGUUGAGAGAAACAGGGAGUGGGAGACAGAGAGAUAG
rnacentral:sRNA from 1 species